UGCAGUCGUACGCACUGGCCCAACUGAUUGNUGGUGCUUGCACCUGAUUGACGAUGGAUCACCAGUGAGUGGCGGACGGGUGAGUAACACGUAGGUAACCUGCCCCGGAGCGGGGGAUAACAUUUGGAAACAGAUGCUAAUACCGCAUAACAACAAAAGCCACAUGGCUUUUGUUUGAAAGAUGGCUUUGGCUAUCACUCUGGGAUGGACCUGCGGUGCAUUAGCUAGUUGGUAAGGUAACGGCUUACCAAGGCGAUGAUGCAUAGCCGAGUUGAGAGACUGAUCGGCCACAAUGGAACUGAGACACGGUCCAUACUCCUACGGGAGGCAGCAGUAGGGAAUCUUCCACAAUGGGCGCAAGCCUGAUGGAGCAACACCGCGUGAGUGAAGAAGGGUUUCGGCUCGUAAAGCUCUGUUGUUGGAGAAGAACGUGCGUGAGAGUAACUGUUCACGCAGUGACGGUAUCCAACCAGAAAGUCACGGCUAACUACGUGCCAGCAGCCGCGGUAAUACGUAGGUGGCAAGCGUUAUCCGGAUUUAUUGGGCGUAAAGCGAGCGCAGGCGGUUGCUUAGGUCUGAUGUGAAAGCCUUCGGCUUAACCGAANAAGUGCAUCGGAAACCGGGCGACUUGAGUGCAGAANAGGACAGUGGAACUCCAUGUGUAGCGGUGGAAUGCGUAGAUAUAU
rnacentral:rRNA from 2 species